ACUCUCGGCAAUGGAUAUCUCGGCUCUCACAUCGAUGAAGAACGUAGCAAAAUGCGAUACUUGGUGUGAAUUGCAGAAUCCCGUGAACAAUCGAGUCUUUGAACGCAAGUUGCACCCCAAGCCUUCUGGCCGAGGGCACGUGUGCCUGGGUGUCACAAAUCGUCGUGUGUUACCGCACGCGGUUGGCCAAAAUCCGAGCUAAGGACGCCAGGAGCGUUCUUACAUGCGGUGGUGAAUUCAAUUCUCAUCAUAUAGUCAGACAUUCCGAUCCAAAAGCUAUUGAUGACCCAAAGUCCUCAACGCGACCCCAGGUCAGGCGGGAUCACAUGCUGAGUUUAAGCAUAUCAAUAAGCGGAGGAAAAGAAACUAACAAGGAUUCCCUUAGUAACGACGAGCGAACCGGGAAGAGCCCAGCUUGAAAAUCGGACGUCUUUGGCGUUCAAAUUGUAGUCUGGAGAAGCGUCCUCAGCGACGGACCGGGCGCCAGAGAGGGUGAGAGCCCCGUCGUGCCCGGACCCUGUCUCACCACGAGGCGCUGUCUACGAGUCGGGUUGUUUAGGAAUGCAGCCCCAAUCGGGCGGUAAAUUCCGUCAAAGGCUUAAUAUGAGCGAGAGAUCGAUAGCGAAAAAGUACCGCGAGGUAAAGAUGAAAAGGAAUUUGAAAAGAGUGUCAAAAAGUGCUUGAAAUUGUUGGGAGGGAAGCCGAUCGGGGCCGGUGUUUCGUCCCGAUCGGAUUCAGAACGGAGCAAUCCGGUCCACCGAUCGAUUCGGGCCGUGGACCAAUGCAGAUUAAGGUGGUGACCUAAGCCCGGGCUUUUGUUACGCCCGCGGAGACGUCACUGCCUUAAUCGUAGUUUGCAGCAUGCGCCUCACGGCGUGCCUCGACAUCUGUGUGCUCAGGGCGUCGGCCUGUGGGCUCCCCAUUCGACCUGUCUUGAAUCACGGACCAAGGAGUCUGACAUGUGUGCGAGUCAACGGGUUAGUAAACCUGUAAAGCGCAAGGAAGCUGAUUGACUGGAUCCCUCACGGGUGCACAGACGACCGACCUUGAUCUUCUGAGAAGGGUUCGAGUGUGAGCAUGCAUGUCGGGACCCGAAAGAUGGUGAACUAUGCUUGAGCGGGGCGAAGCCGAAGGAAACUCUGGUGGUGGCCCGCAGUGAUACUGACAUGCAAAUCGUUCGUCUGACUUGGGUAUAGGGGCGAAAGACUAAUCGAACCAUCUAGUAGCUGGUUCCCUCCGAAGUUUCCCUAAGGAUAGCUGGAGCUCGGAAACGAGUUCUAUCGGGUAAAGUCAAUGAUUAGAGGCAUCGGGGAUGCAAUUUCCUUGACCUAUUCUCAAACUUUAAAUAGGUAGGACGGGGUGGCUGCUUUGUUGAGCCAUCCCACGGAAUCGAGAGCUCCAAGUGGGCCAUUUUUGGUAAGCAGAACUGGCCAUGCGGGAUGAACCGAAAGCCGGGUUAUGGUGCCCAACUGCUCGCUAACCUAGAACCCACAAAGGGUGUUUGUCGAUUAAGACAGCAGGACGGUGGUCAUGGAAGUCGAAAUCUGCUAAGGAGUGUGUAACAACUCACCUGCCGAAUCAACUAGCCCCGAACAUGGAUGGCGCUGAAGCGCGCGACUAUACCCGGCCGUCGGGCAAGAGCCAGGCCUCGAUGAGAAGAGGGCGCGGCGGUCGCUGCAAAACUAGGGCGUGAGCCGGGUGGAGCGCCGUCGGUGCAGAUCUUGGUGGUAGUAGCAAUAUUCAAAUGAGAACUUUGAAGGCCGAAGAGGGGAAAGUUCCAUGUGAACGGCACUUGCACAUGGUUAGUCGAUCCUAAGAGUCGGGGAAACCCGUCUGAUAGCGCUUAUCGCGAACUUCGAAAGGGGAUCGGUUAAAAUUCCAGAACCGGGACGUGGCGGUUGACGGCUACGUUAGGAAGUCCAGAGACGUCGGCGGGAAUUCCGGAAAGAGUUAUCUUUCUGUUUAACAGCCUGCCACCAUGGAAACGGCUCAGCCGGAGGUAGGGUCCAGCGGCUGGAGAGCACCGACGUGCUGUUGUCCGGUGCAUUCCCGCGCCCCUGAAAAUCGGAGGACCGAGUGCGCUCACGCCCGGUCGUACUCAUAACCGCAUCAGGUCUCCAAGGUGAACAGCCUUUGGUCGAUGGAACAAUGUAGGCAAGGGAAGUCGGCAAAUGGAUCCGUAACUUCGGGAAAGGAUUGGCUCUGAGGCUGGGCUCGGGGGUCCCAGUCCGAACCCGUCGACUGUUGGCGGGCUGCUUGAGCUCGCUAACGUGUUGGCCAGGGAUGGACUGGGAACGGUCUUUCGGAUCUUUCCCGGGCGCGAACAGCCAACUCAGAACUGUACGGACAAGGGGAAUGAUGUUUAAUUAAAACAAGCAUUGUGAUGGUCCCUGCGGAGAUGAUCUCUCUCUUUUNNNNNNNNNNNNNNNNNNNNNNNNNAGGUUGUGGUUAGAUAGGUAUUCUGGAAUCUAUCUUUGGUUGAUUGCAUGCUUGGAUGAUUAUUGCUAUUGCGUUAUUGUAUGUUUGCAUGCAGGGAUUGUGAUGAUGUUAUUGGUUAGUACUAUGGAAUUUAGGUCAUAUAGACCGAAUUUCAAGUAUGUAUUAUUAUGGUUAGUUAGUAGAGGAUCGGGAUCUAGGCCAUAUAGGCUGAGUUCUAGUUAGUGUUGUACUUAGCGUCCUAGGCCAUAUAGGCAGGACUAUGGUACUAUGUUUGUAUCGAGCUUUGUCGAUAGCUUCCUGAUCAGCAAUGCUAGGAUGUUACGCGGCAAGGAAGGUUACGUAAGCAUGUCCCUACGCGGCUUGGCAGAGAGGUUGCAUAAAGAUGCUCUGUACGGGAGGUUGCUAGAAAGCAUGCUCGUAUGUUGUAUCCUUGGUGGUGCUUCAUGUUAGUUUGCGGAAGGAAGGUUGCUAGAGUAUGUCCCUACGGGCUGGGCAGAGAGGUUGCAUAAAGCAUGCUCUGUACGGAGAGGUUGCUAGAAAGCAUGCUCUGUCAUUUGAUACCUUAUCGGGGUUACAUGUCAGUUAUGUUGGAUGUUCUAACCCGUGUGCUUUUGUGGCUGCGAGUUAGGUGUUCCAUGGUUGUGUAUAUGAUGAAAAAGCUCGAGUGAGGAUGUGUAGUGAAGGUGUAGAGAGUUAGCAUAUAUUAUAUUAUUAUGCUAAUGGUGGAUUAUAUUCUGCUUCUUAUCUUAUUUAUGUUUUGUUGAGUCACUCGGGUUUCACGGGGGAAGUCUCGAGUGAUGAUUAUUAUUGUUGUGUUAUUGUUAGGUGAACUCCUCGUCUUAGAUUGUUUGUGGUUGGGAUGGCGAGGGGUUGUAUUUGUUAGUUGGCCCUGGCUCACUAGUGACAUAGGUUACUCAUUAAACUCACCAUUGUUGCAGGAAACCUUAGUGGGAGAGCCGGGUAGCAUGGAAGCUGGACGUUAGGAGCACCGAAGUACUUUUGCCUUUCCUUUUGUAAAACGUACUAGUUAAAGUCUUUGACUCGAUAUUGGCACUA
rnacentral:rRNA from 1 species